rnacentral:rRNA from 1 species
CCCCUAGAUGUUCUGGGCCGCACGCGCGCUACACUGAACAGUUCAACAAGUCUUAACCUUGGCCGAUAGGUCUGGGUAAUCUUUGAACGCUGUUCGUGAUUGGGAUAGACCUUUGCAAUUAUGGGUCUUCAACGAGGAAUUCCUAGUAAACGCAAGUCAUCAGCUUGCAUUGAUUACGUCCCUGCCCUUUGUACACACCGCCCGUCGCACCUACCGAUUGAAUGGUCCGGUGAAGCGUUUGGACUAUGGUUUUCUGACGGUUCGCCAUUGGAUUACCGUGGGAAAUUCGUUAAACCUUAUCAUUUAGAGGAAGGAGAAGUCGUAACA